rnacentral:lncRNA from 10 species
GCCAAGCAGGGAGGGUAGAAAGGACUGCCAAGCAGAGAAAGAAACAUGAAUCAGAACCAGCUAAUACAGGAUGGGAGAGUACAUGUGCCAUUAUCAAACACACAGAGGAGUGAAUAAGAAGCAAAGGAUAUUGCCACGGUUUCUACGGGACUGAACAAAGGGGGACCCACACAGGAAUGAAAACUUAAAACAAAACAGCCACUAAGGAAGGCGCAGAGGGACUUCCUUUCGGCCCGAAACAGUAUCUGUGCUGCCAAAACUAGUGGGACACUCCCCUGCUGAACCUGAAAAAGCAAGGUACUAUGACAUACUACAUACCACCUAUGCAGAGGAACAUGUGACAAGAAGCUAUG